AGUGGCGAACGGGUGAGUAACACGUGGGUAACCUGCCCAAAAGAGGGGGAUAACACUUGGAAACAGGUGCUAAUACCGCAUAACCAUGAUGACCGCAUGGUCAUUAUGUAAAAGAUGGUUUCGGCUAUCACUUUUGGAUGGACCCGCGGCGUAUUAACUUGUUGGUGGGGUAACGGCCUACCAAGGUGAUGAUACGUAGCCGAACUGAGAGGUUGAUCGGCCACAUUGGGACUGAGACACGGCCCAAACUCCUACGGGAGGCAGCAGUAGGGAAUCUUCCACAAUGGGCGCAAGCCUGAUGGAGCAACGCCGCGUGAGUGAAGAAGGUCUUCGGAUCGUAAAACUCUGUUGUUAGAGAAGAACAUGCGAGAGAGUAACUGUUCUUGUAUUGACGGUAUCUAACCAGAAAGCUACGGCUAACUACGUGCCAGCAGCCGCGGUAAUACGUAGGUGGCAAGCGUUGUCCGGAUUUAUUGGGCGUAAAGGGAACGCAGGCGGUCCUUUAAGUCUGAUGUGAAAGCCUUCGGCUUAACCGAAGAAUUGCAUUGGAAACUGGAGGACUUGAGUGCAGAAGAGGAGAGUGGAACUCCAUGUGUAGCGGUGAAAUGCGUAGAUAUAUGGAAGAACACCAGUGGCGAAAGCGGCUCUCUGGUCUGUAACUGACGCUGAGGUUCGAAAGUGUGGGUAGCAAACAGGAUUAGAUACCCUGGUAGUCCACACCGUAAAUGAUGAAUGCUAAGUGU
rnacentral:rRNA from 1 species